rnacentral:rRNA from 1 species
AGCGAACUCUGGCGGCAGGCCUAACACAUGCAAGUCGAACGGACCCUUCGGGGUUAGUGGCGGACGGGUGAGUAACACGUGGGAACGUGCCUUUAGGUUCGGAAUAGCUCCUGGAAACGGGUGGUAAUGCCGAAUGUGCCCUUAGGGGGAAAGAUUUAUCGCCUUUAGAGCGGCCCGCGUCUGAUUAGCUAGUUGGUGAGGUAAUGGCUCACCAAGGCUACGAUCAGUAGCUGGUCUGAGAGGAUGACCAGCCACAUUGGGACUGAGACACGGCCCAAACUCCUACGGGAGGCAGCAGUGGGGAAUCUUGCGCAAUGGGCGAAAGCCUGACGCAGCCAUGCCGCGUGGAUGAUGAAGGUCUUAGGAUUGUAAAAUCCUUUCACCGGUGAAGAUAAUGACUGUAGCCGGAGAAGAAGCCCCGGCUAACUUCGUGCCAGCAGCCGCCGUAA